rnacentral:misc_RNA from 1 species
AGCAGCCGCGGUAAUUCCAGCUCCAAUAGCGUAUAUUAAAGUUGUUGCAGUUAAAAGCUCGUAGUUGAAUUUCGGGAUUGACGUGAUGGUCAUGCCUUAAGGGGUAUGAACUGUUACUGUUGAUUUCUCACCUUCUGGAGAAACUUGAUGUCCUUUAUUGGGUGUCUUGCGGAUCCAGGACCUUUACCCUGAAAAAUUGAGUGUUUAAAGCAGGCAUUUUUGCUCGAAUACAUUAGCAUGGAAUAAUAGAAUAGGACGGCAUGGUUCUAUUUUGUUGGUUUCUAGGAUCACCGUAAUGAUUAAUAGGGAUAGUUGGGGGCAUUAGUAUUCAAUUGUCAGAGGUGAAAUUCUUGGAUUUAUUGAAGACUAACUACUGCGAAAGCAUUUGCCAAGGAUGUUUUCAUUAAUCAAGAACGAAAGUUAGGGGAUCGAAGACGAUCAGAUACCGUCGUAGUACUUAACCAUAAACUAUGCCGACUAGGAAUCAGACGAUGUUAAUUUUUUAAUGUACUUCGUUUC